rnacentral:rRNA from 3 species
UCUCGGCUCUUGCAUCGAUGAAGAACGUAGUGAAAU